UAGUUGUCAUGGUACAAUAUUGUCAAAAAAUUAGAGAUUAUACACGCCGCAAAAGUAUAUGAGCUUGUAGCUAAGUAAUCCAUAAUUUUUACGCAAGACUGUACCCGUGGAGAUGCAACCCAUAUAAUUGUUUCUGUCCGACUCCGUAGAUAUAUACUUUUUCAUAAAUUGUUAAACUUUAAUCUGUUAUUUAUAAAUAACUACAUGGUCAAAAUUAAAAUAAAAUUU